rnacentral:rRNA from 1 species
UACAGGGGGGGCAAGCGUUGUUCGGAAUUACUGGGCGUAAAGGGCUUGUAGGUGGCCAACUAAGUCACACGUGAAAUCCCCAGGCUUAACCUGGGAACUGCGUGUGAUACUGGAUGGCUUGAAUCCGGGAGAGGGAUGCGGAAUUCCAGGUGUAGCGGUGAAAUGCGUAGAUAUCGUAAGGAAGACCAGUGGCGAAGGCGGGUCUCUGGACAGUUCCUGACGCUGAGGCACGAAGGUCAGGGGAGCAAACGGG